rnacentral:rRNA from 1 species
ACGGGUGAGUAACACGUGGGCAAUCUGCCCUGCACUCUGGGACAAGCCCUGGAAACGGGGUCUAAUACCGGAUACUGAUCCUCGCAGGCAUCUGCGAGGUUCGAAAGCUCCGGCGGUGCAGGAUGAGCCCGCGGCCUAUCAGCUUGUUGGUGAGGUAACGGCUCACCAAGGCGACGACGGGUAGCCGGCCUGAGAGGGCGACCGGCCACACUGGGACUGAGACACGGCCCAGACUCCUACGGGAGGCAGCAGUGGGGAAUAUUGCACAAUGGGCGAAAGCCUGAUGCAGCGACGCCGCGUGAGGGAUGACGGCCUUCGGGUUGUAAACCUCUUUCAGCAGGGAAGAAGCGAAAGUGACGGUACCUGCAGAAGAAGCGCCGGCUAACUACGUGCCAGCAGCCGCGGUAAUACGUAGGGCGCAAGCGUUGUCCGGAAUUAUUGGGCGUAAAGAGCUCGUAGGCGGCUUGUCACGUCGGUUGUGAAAGCCCGGGGCUUAACCCCGGGUCUGCAGUCGAUACGGGCAGGCUAGAGUUCGGUAGGGGAGAUCGGAAUUCCUGGUGUAGCGGUGAAAUGCGCAGAUAUCAGGAGGAACACCGGUGGCGAAGGCGGAUCUCUGGGCCGAUACUGACGCUGAGGAGCGAAAGCGUGGGGAGCGAACAGGAUUAGAUACCCUGGUAGUCCACGCCGUAAACGGUGGGCACUAGGUGUGGGCAACAUUCCACGUUGUCCGUGCCGCAGCUAACGCAUUAAGUGCCCCGCCUGGGGAGUACGGCCGCAAGGCUAAACUCAAAGGAAUUGACGG